AGGUAUAAAAAGUUAUGAAAGGGACUUUGUUGAAAUGCAAACUAAUCUUAAGACAUGAAUGAGGUAUAAAAAGUUAUGAAAGGGACUUGGUUGAAAUGCAAACUAAUCUUAAGACAUGAAUGAGGUAUAAAAAGUUAUGAAAGGGACUUGGUUGAAAUGCAAACUAAUCUUAAGACAUGAAUGAGGUAUAAAAAGUUAUGAAAGGGACUUGGUUGAAAUGCAAACUAAUCUUAAGACAUGAAUGAGUUAUGAAAGGGACUUGGUUGAAAUGCAAAGAGGGAGCUAAACUAAUCUUAAGACAUUAAUCAGGUAUGUAUAUUUUUGUUGGUGUUUCAUUUUUUUCAUUUUUUUUUUUAUUUAAUUAGCACUUUCUGUUCAUAUUUAAAUCUGUUCUAAUGUAAGGGAUCAGAAAAAAGUUACAUGAAUUAUGAAUUGGACCUUUGUUCAUGAAUUCGAGAAUGUGUCUUGAUACAACAAAUCAUGAAUUUAUGGUAUAAAAUCAAUGUUUUUUGCUACUUGACACUUUCUGUUUGUAAUUUUCAUUCUUUAUUCUUGUUGCUGCUGUAGCAGAAUAUUAGAUCUCAUUAUUCUCAGUUUAAUAUUGUACUUGUAAUUGUACUUUUUACUUAAAA